rnacentral:rRNA from 1 species
UACAGAGGUCUCAAGCGUUGUUCGGAUUCAUUGGGCGUAAAGGGUGCGUAGGUGGCGCCGUAAGUCAGGUGUGAAAUUUCGGAGCUUAACUCCGAAACUGCAUUUGAUACUGCGGUGCUUGAGGACUGGAGAGGAGACUGGAAUUUACGGUGUAGCAGUGAAAUGCGUAGAGAUCCGGAAGAACACCGGUGGCGAAGGCGGCCCGCUGGGCUGUUGCUGACGCUGAGGCGCGACAGCGUGGGGAGCAAACAGG